rnacentral:misc_RNA from 2 species
UUAAGUUCAGCGGGUAGUCUUACUUGAUUUGAGAUCGAGUUGAACAACACAUAAAGUGUCGUAAAAUCCUGCAUCAGUCAGCAAUGAGGACAAUUAUCCUUUAUGUUAGCUGCAGCAAUAGUAAUAAUCCUGUUUGACGAGGACUAAAUAGAUAUGCUUUUAGCUCAGAUAAAAGUCCAGCUGCACCUGCAUUUCAAGCC